rnacentral:rRNA from 1 species
UACGUAGGGGGCAAGCGUUAUCCGGAUUUACUGGGUGUAAAGGGAGCGUAGACGGCGAAGAAAGUCUGAAGUGAAAGCCCGCGGCUCAGCCGCGGAAUGGCUUUGGAAACUUUUUUGCUGGAGUACCGGAGAGGUAAGCGGAAUUCCUAGUGUAGCGGUGAAAUGCGUAGAUAUUAGGAGGAACACCAGUGGCGAAGGCGGCUUACUGGACGGUAACUGACGUUGAGGCUCGAAAGCGUGGGGAGCAAACAGG